rnacentral:lncRNA from 10 species
AGACACGCGUUGUGGGGGGCGGCGCUCUGGCUCCGGGGCUGUGCCCAGCGCGAGCGUGGCCGGCACCCACUUGCUGCAGAGCCGGCACUGCACUGGGGUUCUUGGGGGCGGCUCCUCCAGACGUCUCUGCGGGUUGUCGGGUGCUGCCGAGUUGGGUUGGGGGACGCUACAGGUAGUGGGUCCGGAGCAGCGGCUGGCCCCUCAUCUCACUGCCCUUCCUCGGACCCCACCGUCCUCUGGAAGCUUGUGCAGGGCACCUGCCACUGUGACCACCUGGACGCAGAUACCUGCUUUCCCACAACAGCAAGGAAGAACCAUGGCCCAGGAAGCUUCACUUGACAGUACGUUGGAUCUGG